GACGAACGCUGGCGGCGUGCUUAACACAUGCAAGUCGAACGGAAAGGCCCUGCUUUUGUGGGGUGCUCGAGUGGCGAACGGGUGAGUAACACGUGAGUAACCUGCCCUUGACUUUGGGAUAACUUCAGGAAACUGGGGCUAAUACCGGAUAGGAGCUCCUGCUGCAUGGUGGGGGUUGGAACGUUUCGGCGGUUGGGGAUGGACUCGCGGCUUAUCAGCUUUUUGGUGGGGUAGUGGCUUACCAAGGCUUUGACGGGUAGCCGGCCUGCGAGGGUGACCGGCCACAAUGGGACUGAGAUACGGCCCAGACUCCUACGGGAGGCAGCAGUGGGGAAUAUUGCACAAUGGGCGGAAGCCUGAGGCAGAAACGCCGCGGGCGGGAUGAAGGCCUUCGGGUUGUAAACCGCUUUCGCCUGUGACGAAGCGUGAGUGACGGUAAUGGGUAAAGAAGCACCGGCUAACUACGUG
rnacentral:rRNA from 1 species